rnacentral:rRNA from 1 species
AUUGAACGCUGGCGGCGUGCUUAACACAUGCAAGUCGAUCGGUAACGCGGGGGCAACCCUGGCGACGAGAGGCGGACGGGUGAGGAACGCUUGGGAAUCUGCCUAUCAGCGGGGGACAACACGGGGAAACUCGUGCUAAUACCGCAUACGCUCUACGGAGGAAAGCCGGGGACCGCAAGGCCUGGCACUGAUAGAUGAGCCCAAGCCGGAUUAGCUAGUUGGCGGGGUAACGGCACACCAAGGCGACGAUCCGUAGCUGGUCUGAGCGGACGAUAAGCCACACUGGGACACAGACACGGCCCAGACUCCUACGGGAGGCAGCAGUGGGGAAUAUUGGACAAUGGGGGAAACCCUGAUCCAGCGACGCCGCGUGGGUGAAGAAGGCCUGCGGGUUGUAAAGCCCUUUCGGUAGGGACGAAAGCUCUCGACCUAACACGUCGGGAGGUUGACUUAACCUACAAAAGAAGCACCGGCUAACUCUGUGCCAGCCGCCGCCGUAAUAC